UACGUAGGGUGCGAGCGUUAAUCGGAAUUACUGGGCGUAAAGCGUGCGCAGGCGGUUAUGUAAGACAGUUGUGAAAUCCCCGGGCUCAACCUGGGAAUUGCAUCUGUGACUGCAUAGCUAGAGUACGGUAGAGGGGGAUGGAAUUCCGCGUGUAGCAGUGAAAUGCGUAGAGAUGUGGAGGAACACCGAUGGCGAAGGCAGCCCCCUGGGCCAAUACUGACGCUCAUGCACGAAAGCGUGGGGAGCAAACAGG
rnacentral:rRNA from 1 species